UGCAUCGGCCGGGAGUCGAACCCUGGCCGCCCGCGUGGCAGGCGAGCAUUCUACCACUGAACCACCGAUGC
rnacentral:tRNA from 1 species